AGUUCAUAUCUGCAGUAAGGUCUGUGGAGGGAGAAUAGAGAUUAUUUGAGCUGCAAACUGUCUGGAUGGAAUAAACCACAAGACUAGGGGAACACUGGAGAAAAAUCAAGUUGAUUUUGAUACAGAACUAUGUCAGAUAUAGCACUAAAUGCUUCUGCCACUUGGAAGAGUCUGGAAACUGUAGCGUAUAUCACUCCUCUGCCUUCUGAACUUGGAAAGAGUAACAGCUUUUCUACAACAGUUUCUCCUUGGCACACCCUUUGGCAAAACUGAGGAUCUGUGCAUUAACCUUGAAGGAGGAAACAGAAGCUUUGUUAUUGGGAGUUACUGAACUAAUUAAGCAGCUGAAGGGUGGUUGUAAGGAGGCAUUAAAAGCGUGGAGGAGAAAGAUUGGCAUGAAAAUUGAUUGUAUGUCACUUUGGAGACCUCAGCAGCUCCCCACAGCCAUGCAAAAAGAAUAUGAAAUGUGUGUUCAAGAUACCUUGGAGCUAGAACAGCAUUUUGAUCAUAAAAGGCAUCAGAUAUGACAAGUACAAAACCAAAUACUUCUGACAGAAACAAUCAACAGAAAGAUUCAGGAGGAUAUAGACUUCAUGAAGAAACACAGCCCUCUGCUGGAAGAAAAGCUGAAUCUAUAGAGUGAAGCUGUGAAGGAUGCAUUACAGGCUUGUGAAGAGGUACAUACCAACAGUACUAAGAUGUUUCUUUUAGAACCUUUUCCCUACACAGGUAAAUACCCUUUCCUUUAGAGAACAGCAGUCUUCUGGAAGUACCAAAUCCUGGUAUAAAUUUUGUGCACAAAGACUGUGAAUUGUGUGCCCAUACAGCUGCAUACAGGCACUCAGAGCAAACUGAAUCAAGGAAGGGUAAUGCUGUUGGCCAUUAAUAAAAGUCUCAUGAGCAUAUAUGGAAUGUAAUUCUAACUCUGUAAGUUGAUUUCAUGAGGGAUUUUUCAGAAGAAAGGUAGAAGGCACAUAUCUGAUAUUUGCAUAGAUUCUUCUCAGGUUUCUCACAGACAGCAGCAUUUGUGCCAGAAUAUGGAGAUGUUAGAAGCUGUCAAAAAAUGUUUGGGAGAUUUAAUUAUUUUUAAGUGUUGAUGGAUAUUUUUCCUAAUUUAUUUGUUAAUAUUAUUUAUUAACAACAAUAUUGAUAAUGAUUUAUUAUUUGGUGAUAAUAAAUGCCUAAUGUGGAUAAUGUCAGACUGAAUAAUCGAAGUGUUUCAAAGUUGUAGGCAGCUUAAGACUGAUGUCCAAAAAGAGAAGGAUGCUGUGUUACUUCAAAUACAGAUUUAAAUACUAAUUAUUGUGUUUUAUAUCUAUUUACUAUAGUAACCUUUAAGUAAAAAUCUAGAGAUUAAUCUAUUCUUCAAGGUAGUUACAACCUAAAAAUGGUCUUCUGUUUGUAGGUGAUUCUUAAUAAAUAUUGCUUCUUUUAGUUCGUUUUAUUUUGAACUCAUAUUUUAAGGACUCAACAGUCAUAUCAAAAUACUUAUAAAAUUAAAAAGUUACAUGCCAAUUACACAAAUAAUAUGAGAAUUAUCAUGAAGUAGAUCUGAUCCGUGAAAUAGCUCACAGUUCUAUGGAUAUUAUGAGAUACGUUCAAAAUACCAGCUAAUUAAAAAUCAAGUUGGUUAUUUGGAGUUUUAUUUUAUAUCCUUUUUUUCUUUUUAAUGUCUUAGAAUAUAAUGCAGGCAAAAUAUUGAUAUAUACUAAAAUACAGCUCAGUAAGUAGAUUUAAAAUACUUUUUUAUGGACUGUUUUAAAUAAAUACCUUUUUUCAGGGUUUUUUUUCCUCCUUUCGAAAAAGUGACACUAUAUACGAUAAGAACGUAGAUUUGAUGUUACUGUAACUUAUGUAUUUCAUUUCCACAAAAUUUCUAAUUGCCAGAUAAAUUAUUUAAUACUUCCACUGUACUCUAAUCUGUAUGCUGUUUGUUACUUAUGUUUGU